rnacentral:rRNA from 1 species
ACGCCGCGGUAUCCUGACCGUGCAAAGGUAGCAUAAUCACUUGCCUAUUAAUUGUAGGCUAGAAUGAAGGGACAAACGAGAAUACACCUGUCUCCUUUAAGCCCUUAAAAAUUUAUCUUUAAGUGAAGAAGCUUAAAUUCAUAUGCAGGACAAGAAGACCCUAUAGAGCUUUACCUAAAAUCUACAUAAAUAGUAGCUAGCGGUUCGGUUGGGGCGACCGGGGGACAUUCAUCACCCCCAAACUAAAAGAUAUACCUAUCCCACCAAAGAUCCUUACUCAAGAUCAAAGAAUCAAGCUACCUUAGGGAUAACAGGCUAAUCCUCUUAGAGAGCCCUUAUCGACAAGAGGGGUUGGCACCUCGAUGUUGGCUU